CUAUCAUGAAUGCCUUUAAGUUAAAGCUCUAAACUAUUAGCCCUCAGGAUCCGUUAAGUAUACAGGGCUAUCAAGUUCACCCAUACUUGCAGAAACAAAAGAUUCGAAGGAUUCUACUGUUGAGAGGGAAGAAGCAGUGUCGUCAGAAUCUGAGACAAUCUCGCCAUGCAGAACAAUAUGGUCCUCGUCGAUCUCAGAUCCCUCUGACCCAGAUGUUCCUAAAAGAAGUUUGUUGAUGGCUGAUUUCGCAGUUUCAACAAACCAUUCAUCCUCAGGCAGUGCACUUUGUGGGUCUAUGCCUCUAGCUGAAAAGGUCCGGAUUGCUCUAGCAAUUAUGGCUGAAGCAAUCUGGUGAACGUGUCUAGAUGGAUAACCCGCAAAACGCGCAAUUUCUACAGUGAAGUGCAUAUCAAGAAUUAACUGCUGCAACCCAAGUGGCUUAAGUGGAAUUGUUUCAUCCUCAAACACUCC
rnacentral:misc_RNA from 1 species